rnacentral:piRNA from 1 species
UGCUAAUGAAAAGCCCAACAAGCGAAAGCCC